UACGAAGGGGGCUAGCGUUGCUCGGAAUGACUGGGCGUAAAGGGCGCGUAGGCGGAUGGUACAGUCAGAUGUGAAAUUCCUGGGCUUAACCUGGGGGCUGCAUUUGAUACGUGUGAUCUAGAGUGAGGAAGAGGGUUGUGGAAUUCCCAGUGUAGAGGUGAAAUUCGUAGAUAUUAGGAAGAACACCAGUGGCGAAGGCGGCGACCUGGUCCUUAACUGACGCUGAGGCGCGAAAGCGUGGGGAGCAAACAGG
rnacentral:rRNA from 1 species